AUUGAACGCUGGCGGCAGGCCUAACACAUGCAAGUCGAGCGAGAGCCGCACGGGUGAGUAAUGUGUGGGAGACUGCGUGAUGGAGGGGGAUAACUACAGUAAAAGGUAGCUAAUACCGCAUACCAUCAGAUGUGCCCAGAUGGGAUUAGCUAGUAGGGGGGGUAAUGGCUCACCUAGGCGACGAUCCCUAGCUGGUGUGAGAGGAUGACCAGCCACACUGGAACUGAGACACGGUCCAGACUCCUACGGGAGGCAGCAGUGGGGAAUAUUGCACAAUGGGCGCAAGCCUGAUGCAGCCAUGCCGCGUGUGUGAAGAAGGCCUUCGGGUUGUAAAGCACUUUCAGCGGGGAGGCGUUACCCGCAGAAGAAGCACCGGCUAACUCCGUGCCAGCAGCCGCGGUAAUUC
rnacentral:rRNA from 1 species